CUCUUACUUCCUAUUGUUAUCCCUGGGAAUGGGAGGCUUGUGGGCUCACCCACACUCGCACUAGCAAGCACAAUGAAAAGGUCCUGGUACAGCCACACAGAAAUAGCAUCCCUCCCAAUUCCAGCACUGGUCAGGACCUGAUGGGCCCCUAAGAGCAUCUUACAUGCAGUGUGAUUUAUGUUAUAGGCAAAAGGUGAAUGGCCAGAAAACUUAGAUUGUAUAUCAGAGCAGUGGUGAAGCUCACAAAAGUGCCCAUUCAUCCUAAAAGAAAAGCACAAACCUUGUGACCAGCUGUGAAUAAGUGAUCUUUUCCAUCCUCUGAUGCAAGUCUGUUGGGACUCGAAUGCUUUAGCUGCUGUUGAAUUUAUUAACAGACUCAACCCAGCAACAAAGAACUCAACCAGAAAAAGUUGCAGAAAAAAACAACAAAAUGUAUUAUGCAACAAAACUGCAACAAUUACGAAUCUGAAAAUACACCAUCAAAACCUGAAGAAGUCAAUAGCAGAUGUCCCAUUUACAACUGGUUUAUAUGUGACAAUAUGAAAAAGUCACCAUCAUCAUGCAAAAGUUGCAGUGUUUGUGACUUUUCCAAGACUUUAUACAUUUGUGCUUUUUCAGUCCAGAUCUUUUAAUAAAUGAUUGCCAUUCGUAGAAAUUAGUUUUUUAGUGGUUUGAAACAAAUAUAAGGGCGAAGACACACGGGCCAACUAAUCCACGCCGCAGAAAACCGCGCAACCAACUUUUACAAAAUAUAACUCCAUAAUUCUAAUUACAGAUGAGUCCAUGUUUUUGCAUGCCAACCAAUACCUGACAACUAGUUGAGCCAUGAUACAUAACUCUAAGGGGCACAUUUACUAAUCCACGAAUCCGAAUCACGAAUGGGAAAAAAUC